UCACUCUCAUUAGGAUGUAGCCCCCCCCAGCCUUCAAGGACAUGAGGGGUUUUCCUUCCUUUUCUGCUCUCAUUUUCCAGGUCAUCUCAUUCCUACAUCUUGAGCAGACAAUUAUGUACUAAUAAAAGCUACGAAUAAGGAAAGCUAGACAACUCCCAACUUACACCCUGGCAUUAGGUCCUUCUCUUCUGUAUCCUUCUCUGGAGAGUAAUGAUACCCACCUGGACACAAGCCAGGGAAUUAAACUUCAGCCCCGAUUCACAGACGGCUGCCUUCGUUCAUGGCGUGUGUGAGCACGUAAACAUUCCUGCGUGUACUUUGCUGUCAGCCAAGGUUGAUGCGCACAUAGGUUAAAUUGGUGGAGAAAAUCAACUCAUUCUCCCGCUGCAUCUGAUACAAAUUUCUAAGUCUGGCUGGGCCUUGUGCUGAGUAUUCGCUCAUCUUAACCAUCUCUACAGUGGUUACCCCAGACUUCAUCCUCUCAUCUCGAAUCCUCCACUCCAGACUUUCCUACCACACCUCAUUGUCUAUAGAUAGCCCUGCAAG
rnacentral:lncRNA from 1 species